ACUUGUAGUAGAAUAUUUCUAUACUAAAACUGCAUUUGACAACUUUUUACAUCUAUCACCAGCCAAUAUUGAGACUGGUAGUAAAACAAUUCAAACAUAUUUAGAUGCUUGUUAUUCCUGUAUUCAUUACUCAGGUACAAUAUAUAAGCAUAUUACUGUUUUAGAAAUCAAGUAUAAUCUUGAAACAUAUUUUACAAUGGGUUUUACAUAUUUGAAAAAUCUUACAACAUUAAUAUUCAGUAAUAUAAAUUUCAAAUCACAUACCCAGAAGACUGUGUAUGAAUUAACUCAAGUAUAUUCAAAUGUACAGAAUGUAGCCUACAUUGAAUGCAAUUUUUCUACUUUUAUCGACAUGACAUUUUUACAUCAUAAUUUCAGACACUUGAAACAGUUUCACUUGGACCAUAAAAUAGCUAGUGAUAGGUUUUUAGAAAACUUGCUUGACUUAAAUCAUGAUUUAGAAACUAUAAUUUUUAGAAAUUGCAUUGUAACUGGUGAUAGAUGGUUUGAUGUUCUAGUAAACAAACUUAAGGGGCGGUCAAUAACAAGUUUAAGUAUACACAGUCCAAAUUUUACUUUUGAAGGUGUAAACAAAUUUUUAAACACAGAUAUCUUAAAAUUAGAUAAAUUGAAAGUAAACNGAAAACUUGUUUGACUUAAAUCAUUAUUUGGAAACUAUAAUUUUUAGAAAUUGCAUUGUAACUGGUGAUAGAUGGUUUGAUGUUCUAUUAGACAAACUUAAGGGGCGGUCAAUAACAAGUUUAAGUAUACACAGUCCAUAUUUUACUUCCGAGGGUGUAAACAAAUUUUUAAAUACAGAUAUCUUAAAAUUAGAUAAAUUGAAAGUAAACAUUAGUUUUGAUAGAACAAUAAGCAUUCCAUUUUGCAUCAAAUUUGUUUAAAUUAUUUAUUUUUUUUAAAUAACAAUAUUGUGUUUUUACAAUUAUGUUUAAU